UACAGAGGUCCCAAGCGUUGUUCGGAUUCACUGGGCGUAAAGGGUGCGUAGGUGGUGGGGAAAGUUCGAUGUGAAAGCUCCGAGCUUAACUCGGAAAUGGCAUUGAAAACUACCCUGCUUGAGGGUUGGAGGGGGGACUGGAAUUCUCGGUGUAGCAGUGAAAUGCGCAGAUAUCAGGAGGAACACCGGUGGCGAAGGCGGGUCUCUGGGCCGAUACUGACGCUGAGGAGCGAAAGCGUGGGGAGCGAACAGG
rnacentral:rRNA from 1 species